CAGCUUUGAAGUGUUUCACCCUGGGCGUUGACACAGCUUUGAAGUGAUUGGGUUUGACCCUAGGUGUUGAUGCACAUCAUUCACCCAACUUCCCUUAUGCACUAUGUACUUUCUGCAUGCUCCUCCCCUAUCAAGGUGUUUUGGUACUUCCCUUGAGGCAGGUAUCCUAGCGGUUAGAGUGUAGGGGGCGUAGGUAUCCUAGUGGUUAGAGUGUAGGGGAGGCAGGUUUCCUAGUGGUUAGAGUGUAGGGGCGGCAGGUAUCCUAGUGGUUAGAGUGUAGGGGAGGCAGGUAUCCUAGUGGUUAGAGUGUAGGGGCGGCAGGUAUCCUAGUGGUUAGAGUGUAGGGGUGGCAGGUAGCCUAGUGGUUAGAGUGUAGGGGAGGCAGGUAGCCUAGUGGUUAGAGUGUAGGGGAGGCAGGUAGCCUAGUGGUUAGAGUGUAGGGGCGGCAGGUAUCCUAGUGGUUAGAGUGUAGGGGAGGUAGGUAUCCUAGUUGUCAGAGUGUAGGGGCGGCAGGUAUCCUAGCGGUUAGAGUGUAGGGGAGGUAGGUAUCCUAGUGGUUAGAGUGUAGGGGUGGCAGGUAUCCUAGUGGUUAGAGUGUAGGGGCGGCAGGUAUCCUAGCGGUUAGAGUGUAGGGGAGGCAGAUAGCCUAGUGGUUAGAGUGUAGGGGAGGCAGGUAGCCUAGUGGUUAGAGUGUAGGGGAGGCAGGUAGCCUAGUGGUUAGAGUGUAGGGGUGGCAGGUAGCCUAGUGGUUAGAGUGUAGGGGAGGCAGGUAGCCUAGUGGUUAGAGUGUAGGGGAGGCAGGUAGCCUAGUGGUUAGAGUGUAGGGGCGGCAGGUAUCUUAGCGGUUAGAUUGUAGGGGCGGCAGGUAGCCUAGUGGUUAGAGUGUAGGGGUGGCAGGUAGCCUAGUGGUUAGAGUGUAGGGGAGGCAGGUAGCCUAGUGGUUAGAGUGUAGGGGCGGCAGGUAUCCUAGCGGUUAGAGUGUAGGGGAGGUAGGUAUCCUAGUGGUUAGAGUGUAGGGGAGGUAGGUAUCCUAGUUGUUAGAGUGUAGGGGCGGCAGGUAUCCUAGUGGUUAGAGUGUAGGGGCGGCAGGUAUCCUAGUGGUUAGAGUGUAGGGGCGGCAGGUAUCCUAGUGGUUAGAGUGUAGGGGCGGCAGGUAUCCUAGCGGUUAGAGUGUAGGGGAGGUAGGUAUCCUAGUGGUUAGAGUGUAGGGGAGGUAGGUAUCCUAGUCGUUAGAGUGUAGGGGCGGCAGGUAUCCUAGUGGUUAGGGCGUUGGACUAGUAACUGAAAGGUUGUUAGAUCAAAUCCCUAGCUGACAAGGUAGAAAUCUGUCGUUCUGCCCCUGAACAAGGCAGUUAACCCACUGUUCCUAGGCAGUCAUUGAAAAUAAGAAUUUGUUCUUAACUGACUUGCCUAGCUUAAAUAAAGGUAAAAGAAAAAUUACAGUAGGCUACCACCAUCUCUUCAGAAAGGAACUUAGAAAUGUUUGUUUCCACCUUGUGGUAGGCUACUUUACGGUUCUAACUAAUUUCCUCUAAAACUACAACUACCAUCAUCACCGGAAUCCCCCAGAGUCCAAGCAGUCAUGCGGAUGGAAACAGAACCUUGCCAGAGAAGAAGAGGCCGAGCGAUAACUGGGCACAAAUGAUGUCUUCUCCAGUGGGUGGCGUUUUUUGUUUUUGUUGGUCACCAAGCUAGGAGUUUUUGUAUGGAGGUCAAUGAGAGAGUGUUUAAUUUUGUUAUUAAAAAAUGUAA